CCACAUAUAUAUCUCUACUACCACUUUCGCCGCCGCCAAUUCCAAGUUAACUACUGAAAUUCCUUAUCACUUCAUUUUCAACUUUGAUUCCCAAUCUGAUUUAGGAGAGCUCUUCGUGAAUCUUCAUAAGAUGCAGAAACUAAAAGUUCCUCUUUUUAAUUUAGUUGAAGAUUUAGGAAAUGAUGAUCUGAUUUUGGAUUCAAUUUCAGAGCGCGAUGGUAAUGAAAUCAAUAUGUUGGGGUUGCAAUUCAGCUAGUAAUUCUGUGCGGUGCUGUCUUGGGAUUUAUGGCUAAAUGGCCGGAUAUGCACUGGUGUUGAUAAUGAAGGAUUCGAGUUAAUGGUGUUGAAGUUGUUGCUGUUUAUGAAGCUACAUGUGAUGAUAAAUUGUUGUUGUUGUCCCAAUUUUUAUGGGAUCAACUAC